rnacentral:rRNA from 1 species
UACGGAGGGGGCUAGCGUUGUUCGGAAUUACUGGGCGUAAAGCGCACGUAGGCGGCUUUGUAAGUUAGAGGUGAAAGCCCGGAGCUCAACUCCGGAAUUGCCUUUAAGACUGCAUCGCUAGAAUUGUGGAGAGGUAAGUGGAAUUCCGAGUGUAGAGGUGAAAUUCGUAGAUAUUCGGAAGAACACCAGUAGCGAAGGCGACUUACUGGACACAUAUUGACGCUGAGGUGCGAAAGCGUGGGGAGCAAACAGG